rnacentral:lncRNA from 1 species
AAUCACUGCACACCUGCCAGGCCUGCCCCACUUCCGAGCAGACAGAAAGCCCCGGGACUCUUCAAACGGGUGCAGUGCCAAUGUGCUCAGACCCAGCAUCGCUGGGGAGACUCUGCAACCCUCCUUGCAGGCUCUGCAAAGCAAGUGCUUGCUGGGCCUCUCGGGAAGUUAAUUGUUCUGAUGACUACUUCACGAUGGAGGGAAAGUGGUUCCUUCAUCCUUUUGCCUCCCCAAAGUAUCAAACGGGUCAGAGGAGGCCAGAAAGAGGGCAGCAAUUCAGCAGCUCCAGAUGCUGGAAACAGGCCAGACCCUCGGAUAUGUGCCCCCAGAGAACUGAAGGCAGGGGUUGAAAUACAUGUGCACGGGCUCAUGUUCACAGCAGCACUGUUCACGCAACAACCAUUCCUCCAUUGACAGAUAUUUGGAAUGGUUACUAUAUAAAAUAGUGCCAGCUUCCUCGGGAAUUAGCACUGCUCUGUGCUGAGCCAGAAGGCCCUGCCUCCUAGUCUUCCUUGCCUGAAUGGUCCCUGAGCAGGCCACUGCACACAUCUCCUCGGGAGGCAAGGUGUCCACCACCAUGAAGCCCUUAGCGGUGACUCAGCCUUCAACUUCCAGCCUCCAAGCUGCAAGAAAUCACCUGAUGGGAGAAGCCUUGAGGAACUCCUAUCCACUGCCUUAGUUCCCCAUUUGGACUUCCUACAGAAGAUUUCCUCUUUGCUCACCAAAAUGUUGGAGAAUUUCUACCACCAGACCAGCUGCAUACAGUCAACUGUCCACCAGACCAGCUGGGUGUACCACUAACUCCACUUUCCUGUAACCAACCUGGAGACAGAAUCAGAUAUGUAGUUUAAGACCACCCCAGGGGUUGGGGAUUUAGCUCGGUGGUAGAGCAGGCCCUGGGUUUGGUCCUCAGCUCUGGGAAAAAAAAAAAAAAAAAAAAAAAAAAAAAAAAAAAAAAAAAAAAAAAAAAAGACCACCCCAGUUCCACUCUCCCGACCUUGGAUGCUCAGCUCAAGCCCUGACCCAUGUACAGCUUGUGCUUCUAACCCAGGGCUAUAAAAUGGGGUUUCCUUGUUCCCCACUUGGGACCACAAAACGAGGGAUACUCUCCUAUGUUCACCAUUACAGACCAUUUUCAACAGCCAGACAACAGCCAACAGCAGAGCACAAGUUGUAUAGGAGGGGGCUUGGAGCAUCUCUGUGGUAGCAUGACUGAUUAUGGCACUGGUCGUGAUAAUUAACUCUACCUCCUUUCCCAUCCCUGGAUGUCAAAUAGGGGAGAUCAUGAAGAACUUGGCUUCAGAUAUGAAUCAGCUCGUUUUCUGUUUUGUCUUGUUUGUGAGUCUUGACCCCUUGGGCAUCAAAUGACCCUCUCAUGGAUGGGUGUCACAGAUACCCUGCAUAUCAGAUAUUUACACUGCAAUUCAUAACAGUAGCAAAAUUGCGGUUAUGAAGUAGCAACAGCAACGAAGACAAUUUUAUCAUUGAAGGUCACCACGACGUGAACUGCAUUAAAGGGUCCCAGCAUUAGGAAGGUUGAGAAUAUGUAGAUCUGGCUGGCCUAGGAACUCACAAAGAUCUGCGUACCUCUGCUACAACUAAAGGCCUGUGCCACCACGCCUAGCCCACAUUAAUUCUUUAAUGGGUUCACCAUUUGAUACAGUGCUGGGACCACAGAAAAUACAGAAGGUAUGACUGUGGGCAAGCAUCAGUGGGCAGUAUCUCUCAUACACCAAGCCCUGGUUCCAUCUUAAGCAUCCCGAGAACUGUGACGUGAUGGCUGAGCCUAUAGCUGAGCACUAGGGGUGCAUACUCAGCACUCAAGACAAGAAAAUCAAGGUCUUCCCUCAGUCCUGGGCCAGACUGUGGGACACAUGAGGCUAUCUCAAGCCACCCCAGCCA